rnacentral:lncRNA from 1 species
ACCCUGAAAAGGAAUUAUCUGAAUACGAAUCCCACUGUUCUCCUGGCAGCCCUGCCCUGGCUUUGCAGCAACAAGAGCACCAAGCAGCUCAGCCAUGACACCAACUACACUUUGCCAAAGUGGUAGAAAAAGAGUUAGAGAAGCAAGCAGGAGCAGGCUGUGGACAGCCCACGUCUGCUGCAGCACAAGUGUAAGAAAAGAAUAUGAUUUGGACUACUGUAAGCCUUUCACCAUCUCCCUCAAGGAAACUGCUGAAGAUAAAAUUACAAAUGCAUUAUAAACCCACUUCCAUACAAUGCAGUGCAUGGUGAUCCAGAACUCUCCGGAGACUUUACAAUAUCGUAAGGAGCAGGAGAAAAGCGUGAGGAGGAAGGAGCAACAAAGAAGAACUCCUGGGCUGCCCGCAGCUUCCCCUCCCCAUCCCUUGUGUCGCUUGUGAGGACAGAAGAGCUGACAGGAGAGAGCAGAGGAACAGGGAACCACAGGACAAGGUUGAGCCUGGGAAGAAGGGAGAACUGGGGCAAGGUGGCUUUAGGUUUGGCUUUGUUUCUUACCAUCAUACUCUGUUUUUCAUUCCCAAUAAAGUAAAUUAAUCUUACUCUUCCUUUACUCUCCCACUGCAUCACCUUUUUCUAACACUGCCACAUGACUUCAGAGUAGAAAUACGGUAAUACAGAUUACCUUUUCACUCUGCAAACUGAUCCAGAAAAAGAAAGCAGCACAAAUAGGUUGCAGAGAUCAUUUUCUCAGGCAGAAAACACUUUCGGGUUGUGAAUUAGGCUGUGGGACAGAUCAUCAGAUGGAUGGAUCCUGUUCAUGAGAAUAUAAACUUUCAAACUAUAUUGUUGGAGAGAAAACUGAAC